GCAGACCUCUCUCGACGUGUCUGACAUGGCUAAGGGACAGCUCUGGUUCGGCCCACAUGAAGCUGAACCUCAGUGAGCAUCAUGGAGUGGAUGAAGCUGGAACCUGGUCUCGCCGUUGAGGCAUUUUUUCUUCAGGCUGUCGCUCAAUCGUCGCAACACAACGUGCAUUCCGUAGACAUUUCAAUAUUGCCCCCCGUGGUCGUAUUCCUGGGCAGCAGUCGAUCUGGAUCAGUGUUGGCAGGAAACACUCAUUGAUCAUGUUGACAUAAUGGUCAGAUGUCACUGAUACUGCCAACUCGCGAUAGUACGUACCAAAAAGAUGCAGAAAGAUGGAAGUGACCCUCAUCACUGAAGAAAAUAAGUGUGUCGUCAGGCAAGGCCAAAGGUGCCUCACAUGCAUUUUCACGAGCAAUAAAAUCGUGUGAAUUAAGUCCCUGCACCAUAGCUAAUUUGUAGGGAUGUAAUUUCAAUUCUUAAUGGGGGAUUCAUCUCAAAGAACGCGCAGACUACUCAAGAGCAG